CUUAACUUUAGAGGAGCGAAAUAUUCUGAUAUUUUUUAGUAUCUUGAAAUGUUUAAUGAGUUAUGUACAGUAACAUGUAUUUAAGAUGUCUUGUUUUAAAGGUCGUUAUAAAAAUAUAUCACAAAGGAAUCUCAAAAUGAAAAUGGAUUAAUCUUGAUAUGUAAGUAUUCACUUGUUACAUAAGGACGCUUUUAUGAACAGCUGUACUGGCACUGGGUCGAUACCAAUGCCAGUGAAGUUUGAUCAAUUAGGAAAUUACAACAAUACAAAAAGGUUCAAACUCCCUAAGGCUAAACCCUAACCAUUUUUUUUUUCUUUGCGGGUCUAUGUAGUUUUACUUCCAUGGAUUUUAAAUUUUUGGGUUUGAAGAUAGUUAUAUUCAUGCAAUUGUCACAAAAACUGAAAAGAGUUUUGCUUUCUCAAGAAUUACAUGUUUGCGAGGUGCAGUGCACUUUGAACAAGAACAAGACAUGUAGCUCGUGCUGAUUCAACUCUGUUUAUUUUCAUUAGAUAAAAUAAAUGUAGCAAAUAUGCAAAGAAUAACAUGGCAAACUGUAUUAUUAUAUUGAUUGACACAACACUAUUCGUAUAUAACAGUGGAAAUUUUAAAACAAAUAGAAAUAUUUUAAAUAAAAAUCAUGCAUCAUGACGGUUGAUCUUCUGACGUAAAUUUCUAAAGCAAUUAAAAUGCUUUAGCACACGUAAUAUGCACAGACAAUAAUCCAGCAUUUCAACUUGUGAACAGAACUCCUAAAUACAUUAACUGAUAAUGUCAUCUUUAUGUCGUAAAUGACAUUUGUAGUCUGUUUUUUUUUUGACGAUUUUAAAGUAAGACAGUAUUUGGAUAGAGUUGAAGUUUCUUUAAACUGUGAUGCUAGCGAUAGUUGGUAAUUGUGUGUAAUCCACUAAUAGAUAGUAUGCUUGCGUCACCGUGAUUACAAAAUUGAUUCCACUAAUUAGUAUGCUUGCGUCACCGUGAUUACAAAAUUGAUUCCACUAAUUAGUAUGCUUGCGUCACUGUGAUUACAAAAUUGAUUCCACUAAAUAGUAUGCUUGCAUCACCGUGAUUACAAAAUUGAUUCCACUAAAUAGUAUGCUUGCGUCACCGUGAUUACAAAAUUGAUUCCACUAAUUAGUAUGCUUGCGUCACCGUGAUUACAAAAUUGUUCACUUUGCAGUGUUUUCAUUUCCGUUUUGGGUUAAAUGAUAAGGUCACCCGCUCUUCCCAAAAAAUACCACUCGUUCCUAUGUGUCUAUAUCUUUGCACCUAAAACAAACAUGUUCCCCAAUAUUGGUAUUCAAAUAGCUGACUGCGCUAACAUUAAUGCGAUAGUUACUUUGAUAGAGAGAGUGAAAUGUACACAACGUAAUUGAACAAUACAGCAAAGAUGUCGCAAUAUCUGAUAUUGUUUUAAAAGAGCCAUCAGUUUUAUCGUUGCUUAUUAACUUUUUUAUUCAUUCAACAGAUAUCAUAAAUUUUAAUUUUACAUUUACAUUUGAUUUCAAUUGAGUAUUUGAAUUACGUUGCUAUAAACAUACCUGUACUCACUCAUUUCAG
rnacentral:lncRNA from 1 species